UGCAGUUCUAUCGCAGCCAACUUCAACCACUUCACUUUUUCAAAGAACGUGGAAGGAGCAACACCUAUUAAAAUGUGAUCAACCAACUUUGGAUAGCUGCGUUUUAACGCUGGCUAAUUAAAUUGAAACAAUACAUUUUUCCAUCAACACGUGUUUUCUGGUGAAAAAAUCAAAAUGGCAGAUUUCUGCAGUAAUCUUCAGGUUGAUUUUGACAGCCGUCAUCUUGGGGUCCUAUGUUCACAUGCUGAAAUGAAGGUUUAUAUCAUGGACUUAGGCGUGUGAUAAAAAACAUAUUAAUGUCAAAAAAAUUUUGGAAAAGAAAGGCACUGGACUUCUGACGUGAUGACUAACAAAAAAUUGAUGCUUUAAGGAUACCAAACAGAGACGCUUACUCCAAUGGAAGCACCAAAUUUUUGAAAAGCCAUCUAAGACAACAUAUAAAGGUCGGGCGGUGACAAGCUUUUCCAAUAUUUUUUUGGAGAUAGGGAGUCUUGCUUGGCUGGUUAUGGGCCCUGGUUAAAAAAUUGGCACUGAAUUUUACAAUUUUUUUAAAAUUUGUCAGUGCCACCUACGAGCUAUAACUAAUGUUGACUCUUCUUAUCGUUGCAGCAUGCAGCCUCUGCGGAAACCCGAUAAAAUAUUUGUAAAGCCUUACAAUGAAUAAAAAGAGCCUUUUGAAAUGUUAAAAA